CCUACGGGAGGCAGCAGUGAGGAAUAUUGGUCAAUGGGAGAGAUCCUGAACCAGCCAAGCCGCGUGAGGGAAGACGGCCCUAUGGGUUGUAAACCUCUUUUGUCGGAGAACAAAACCCGGGACGAGUCCCGGACUGCGUGUAUCCGAAGACAAAGCAUCGGCUAACUCCGUGCCAGCAGCCGCGGUAAUACGGAGGAUGCGAGCGUUAUCCGGAUUUAUUGGGUUUAAAGGGUGCGUAGGCGGUCUGUUAAGUCAGCGGUAAAAGUGCGGGGCUCAACCCCGUCGAGCCGUUGAAACUGGCAGACUUGAGUUGGCGAGAAGUACGCGGAAUGCGCGGUGUAGCGGUGAAAUGCAUAGAUAUCGCGCAGAACUCCGAUUGCGAAGGCAGCGUACCGGCGCCAGACUGACGCUGAGGCACGAAAGCGUGGGGAUCGAACAGGAUUAGAUACCCCUGUAGUC
rnacentral:rRNA from 1 species